rnacentral:rRNA from 1 species
UACGAAGGGGGCUAGCGUUGCUCGGAAUUACUGGGCGUAAAGGGCGCGUAGGCGGACAGUUUAGUCAGAGGUGAAAGCCCAGGGCUCAACCUUGGAAUUGCCUUUGAUACUGGCUGUCUUGAGUUCGGGAGAGGUGAGUGGAAUGCCGAGUGUAGAGGUGAAAUUUCGUAGAUAUUCGGCGGAACACCAGUGGCGAAGGCGACUCACUGGCCCGAUACU